rnacentral:rRNA from 1 species
GUCUCAGUACAAGCCGAAGUAAGGUGAAACCGCGAAUGGCUCAUUAAAUCAGUUAUGGUUCCUUGGAUCAUACCACAAUACUUGGAUAACUGUGGUAAUUCUAGAGCUAAUACAUGCAAAUCGAGUCCCGACCAGAGAUGGGAGGGAUGCUUUUAUUAGAUCAAAACCAAUCGGUCGGCUCGUCCGGUCCGUUUGAAUUUGGUGACUCUGGAUAACUUUUGGCUGAUCGCACGGUCCCCGCACCGGCGACGAAUCUUUCAAAUGUCUGCCUUAUCAACUGUCGAUGGUAGGCUCUGCGCCUACCAUGGUUGUAACGGGUAACGGGGAAUCAGGGUUCGAUUCCGGAGAGGGAGCCUGAGAAACGGCUACCACAUCCAAGGAAGGCAGCAGGCGCGCAAAUUACCCACUCCCGGCACGGGGAGGUAGUGACGAAAAAUAACGAUACGGGACUCAUCCGAGGCCCCGUAAUCGGAAUGAGAACACUUUAAACUCUUUAACGAGUAUCCAUUGGAGGGCAAGUCUGGUGCCAGCCGCCGCGGUAACUCCAGCUCCAAUAGCGUAUACUAAAGUUGUUGCGGUUAAAAAGCUCGUAGUUGGACCUGUGUCCCACGCUGUCGGUUCACCGUUCGCCGGUGUUCAACUGGCAGGCCAGUGAGGACGUCCUGCCGGUGGAUGCGGUCGGCGCGAGGUCAGAGGGCUACCCUUGGGCCUCGUCGUCGGCGGUCCGUUUGAAUCCUGCCGCGGUGCUCUUCACCGAGUGUCGAGGUGGGCCGGCACGUUUACUUUGAACAAAUUUGAGUGCUCAGGGAGGGCAGUGUAACGCCCGAAUGUUGUGUGCAUGGAAUAAUGGAAUAGGACCUCGGUUCUAUUUUGUUGGUUUACGGAACCCGAGGUAAUGAUUGACAGGGACAAUCGGGGGCAUUCGUAUUGCGACGUUAGAGGUGAAAUUCUUGGAUCGUUGCAAGACGGACAUAAGCGAAAGCAUUUGCCAAGAGUGUUUUCAUUAAUCAAGAGCGAAAGUUAGAGGAUCGAAGGCGAUCAGAUACCGCCCUAGUUCUAACCAUAAACGAUGCCAGCUAGCGAUCCGCCGAAGUUCCUCCUAUGACUCGGCGGGCUGCUUCCGGGAAACCAAAGCUUUUGGGUUCCGGGGGAAGUAUGGUUGCAAAGCUGAAACUUAAAGGAAUUGACGGAAGGGCACCACCAGGAGUGGAGCCUACGGCUUAAUUUGACUCAACACGGGAAAACUCACCAGGCCCGGACACCGGAAGGAUUGACAGAUUGAGAGCUCUUUCUUGAUUCGGUGGGUGGUGGUGCAUGGCCGUUCUUAGUUGGUGGAGCGAUUUGUCUGGUUAAUUCCGAUAACGAGCGAGACUCUGCCCUGCUAACUAGUCGCAAUUUCGGUAUCCGGCGAGCUACCGGCGACGAAACUAUCUUCUUAGAGGAACAGGCGGCUUCUAGCCGCACGAGAUUGAGCAAUAACAGGUCUGUGAUGCCCUUAGAUGUUCUGGGCCGCACGUGCGCUACACUGGAGGAAUCAGCGAGUCCUCCUGGCCCGAGAGGGCCGGGUAACCCGUUGAAAUUCGUCCGUGCUAGGGAUUGGGGCUUGCAAUUGUUCCCCAUGAACGAGGAAUUCCCAGUAAGCGCGAGUCAUAAGCUCGCGUUGAUUAAGUCCCUGCCCUUUGUACACACCGCCCGUCGCUACUACCGAUUGAAUGGUUUAGCGAGGUCUUCGGACCGGCGCGCGGCGGUCCGCCAGUCGGGCCGUCGAUGCUGUUGGGAAGAUGACCGAACUUGAUCAUUUAGA